rnacentral:rRNA from 1 species
GAUGAACGCUGGCGGCGUGCCUAAUACAUGCAAGUCGAGCGAACAGACGAGGAGCUUGCUCCUCUGACGUUAGCGGCGGACGGGUGAGUAACACGUGGAUAACCUACCUAUAAGAUUGGGAUAACUUCGGGAAACCGGAGCUAAUACCGGAUAAUAUAUUGAACCGCAUGGUUCAAUAGUGAAAGACGGUUUUGCUGUCACUUAUAGAUGGAUCCGCGCCGCAUUAGCUAGUUGGUAAGGUAACGGCUUACCAAGGCAACGAUGCGUAGCCGACCUGAGAGGGUGAUCGGCCACACUGGAACGGAGCCACGGUCCAGACUCCUACGGGAGGCAGCAGUAGGGAAUCUUCCGCAAUGGGCGAAAGCCUGACGGAGCAACGCCGCGGGAGUGAUGAAGGUCUUCGGAUCGUAAAACUCUGUUAUUAGGGAAGAACAAAUGUGUAGGUAACUAUGCACGUCUUGACGGUACCUAAUCAGAAAGCCACGGCUAACUACGU